AGCAGCCGCGGUAAUUCCAGCUCCAAUAGCGUAUAUUAAAGUUGUUGCAGUUAAAAAGCUCGUAGUUGAACUUCGGAAUUUAUUCAUUGGUCAGGCUUAACUGUCUGUACUGGUGUUUUGAAUUCCUACCUUCUGAGGAAUCUCCAUGCCAUUCACUUGGUGUGGUGGGGAAUCAGGACUGUUACUUUGAAAAAAUUAGAGUGUUUAAAGCAGGCUAACGUCUGAAUACAUUAGCAUGGAAUAAUAAAAUAGGACGGCUUGGUUCUAUUUUGUUGGUUUCUAGGAUCACCGUAAUGAUUAAUAGGGAUAGUUGGGGGCAUUAGUAUUCAAUUGUCAGAGGUGAAAUUCUUGGAUUUAUUGAAGACUAACUACUGCGAAAGCAUUUGCCAAGGAUGUUUUCAUUAAUCAAGAACGAAAGUUAGGGGAUCGAAGACGAUCAGAUACCGUCGUAGUCUUAACCAUAAACUAUGCCGACUAGGGAUCGGACGAAGUUAAUUUUAAAUGACUCGUUCGGCACCUU
rnacentral:rRNA from 1 species